GAAGGAAAGGUCAAACAUAUAGCGAGCGAUCUUUCAGACAGUAUACCACUCACUCCCUCACCUGUCUCUAAGGAAGAUUCAAUUCAAAACAAAGUGCUGCAGUCGAAAGAAUAAGAAGUUCGAAGAUGGACUCAAAAAUGAAAGUAAAGAGCUGAGAAAGUGGCUACAUAAGCACAGAAAGACACUCUGGUCUACCUUUGGAAAUGGCGUCCGGCUCAAACGACGGUGAACGGACAUAUCGGGGU